rnacentral:lncRNA from 1 species
AAAGAAAGAAAGAAAGAAAAGAUACGAAGAAUACAUCCAGUGUGAUCUCAUGUAAAUAAAGUCCAAAAACAAGCAAAACUGAAAAAGCUCAAAGAAAGAAGAUAACCUUAAGAAAAUAAUAGCUGGGAUGAAAUAGACUCUCUCUUUCUCUAUAUGUGUAUGUGUGUGUGGGGUGUGUGUGUGUGUGUAUAAGUAUAUACAAUUUUCUGAACUAUUUGAGAAUUUGAGAACUCCUGACCCUUUACACCUAAAUAUUUCAGUAUAUAUCUAAAUAUUUUAAUGUUUAUUUUCUAAGACGACUGUGUCUUAUAUAACCACAGUUCAGUGAUCAAAAUCAGAAAAUGUAACAUUAAUAUAAUAAUACGAUCUAACCCACAGCCCACAUUCUAAUUUCAUCAAUUAUCCCAAUAAUGUUGGUGAUACCCAUUUUUUUCCCAGUUGUGGAUCCAGUCCAAGUUCAGUCCAGGUUUAUGCAUUGCAUUCCAUUGUCACAUCUUUUAAUCUCUUUUGAUCUGGAACAGUUCCUUAGUCUUCCUUUUUGUUUCUUGACCUUGACAUUUCUGGGGACAGGUCAGCUGCUUUGUAAGAGGUGCCUCAGUUGAGUUCCUCUGGUCGUUUCUCAAGGUGGGGUUCGAGCUCCACGUCGGUGGCAGGAGGGAAUCCCACUGCAGUUCUGCUGUGUCCUUCUAAGUUAUCUCAUUGCAGGGCACGUCAUGCAGGUCUGUCCUGAUGUUGGCCCUGUUUGCUUUGACCCCUUGGUUAGGGUGGUGUCUGCUUGGCCUCUCCACUGUGAAAUCACUAUUUCUCCCUUUGUGCUGAGUAAGUUACUGGUAAGGAGAGACUCGUAGACUAACAACGUGUCCUCCUGAGCACCUGCUGUGUGCCUGGCUCUGUGUGGCAAACAGAGGCCAAUGGUUUGCCAGGCAGGCACAGCCACAUCUCUCACAGGCUUAGCCCACAGAAGGGACCCAUAGAAAACAGUGAUUGCAGAACCAACUCGGUGCCAGGAACUGUACUCAAUGAUCCCAGUGCAUAAGCUCAUUUAAACCUGACCGCAACCCUGAUAGGAGAAAACUGAAUGAAUACGUUACUUGCCUACAGUCAGAUGUUUCAGAAAUAGCAAUAAUAAUAACAACAAUAAUAAUAAUGGCUAACAUCCUUUUAGCACUUAUUUCCUAUUGCCAGGCUCUGUUUUCAGUGCUUUACAUGAACUUCUAUUUUAUAAAAAUUAUUUCUACCUGGACCUGCCAGAGGAGAAAUCCAAGGCACAGAAGUCAGUCAUUUGCCAUGCCACACAGCUGAACAUGUUCCUUGGACCCAUUCAAGCCUGCUGUGGCACACUGAGAAGAGUUUGUGCCUGGACCAGAGGAAAACACAGAGGAGAGGGACACACAACCCCUUGAUUAUUUGAUUCCUCUCCUUGAAUGGAGGAGACAGAGUUCUCAAAGGACCAGAGGCAGCAGUAUUCCAAAGGGCAGAGCUAAGGUCAAGUACAGAGAAGGAAGGGGACAUUCAAGGCAAGAAGGCAGAGGGUCACAAAUGGAAGAAAGCAGCAACUGGCUGAGAAGUGGGGACUAGGAAGCAAGAGGAAAAAGACUUCAACCUGGAGGCUGGCGAGCCCUGCCAAAGAGCCUGAACCUGUUCUGACUGCUGCCUCUUCCCUGAAGCUAGGCAAGAUUUUCAGGUGUAAAUGCCCAGGGCCUGGUUGCACCCCAGUUUGGCUCUGCUAAAGGUGAAGGCUGGCUCACUUAUGUCUGAGACAUUGGUCUGAGCCCACAUGGCCACAGCAUGAGAAGAGUGGUCCAUGUGGGCUGGGAAGCCCUAUGUGUCCUGGA